CGCAAAGCAGAUGUGGAUGCUGAUCUUGUGGGGUUUUGUUUCGUAGGAAAGCACCGCAUUAUCCGGGCAGUUAUGAACAGCUGCGUGAAGGGAUGGGACAAAGUGCUGCAGAAGGGCUGCUCUGAGGCUGGGGUCCUGCAAGGCUUCUCUGGGGGGUGGUGCUCAGGGGCCAGGAUGAACAGGAGGAACCCACAUGACAAGUCAAGAGAAAUUUCCAGAAGACACUGAGGGGCCUCUCGCUGCUGUGGCCUCUCCUGUUGCAGAGCACAAGCUCCGGACGCGCAGGCUCAGUGGCCAUGGCUCACGGGCCCAGCCGCUCUGCAGCACGUGGGAUCCUCCCGGAUGGGGGCACGAACCCGCGUCCCCUGCAUUGGCAGGCGGACUUUCAACCACUGCGCCACCAGGGAAGCCCAUGGAUAAAGAUUUUGAGAUGAAAUUUUCUUUUCAGUAAAGAAAAUGGAGGGGGACUUCCCUGGUGGUGCAGUGGUUAAGACUCCACGCUCCCAGUGCAGGGGGCCUGGGUACGCUCCCUGGUCAGGGAACUAGAUCUUACACGCAUGCUGCAACUAAGAGUUCGCAUGCUGCAACUAAGGAGCCCGCAAGCCACAACUAAGGAGCUGCCAAGCCACAACUAAGGAGCUCGUGAGCUGCAACUAAGGAGCUGGUGAGUCGUAACUGAGGAGCGCGCUUGCCGCAACUAAGACCUGGCGCAACCAAAUAAGUAAAUUAAUUAAUUAAAAAAAAGAAUGAUUAAAAAAAAGAAAAUGGAGGCACCUGAGGGCCAAGUGGGGAGAUGUCCCCAGGGAAGGAAGAAGAAAAUUCGGGACACAAACUACAAAUGAUGCCUCCAUAGGGCAUCAGCCCUGACUCUUUAUCCUGCUGCUGUUACCGGGGAAGAUGCCCGCAGCUGACAUGCAUGUGCUUACCAUGUGCUGGUCACCUCAAGCACGACCCCACUGAAUCCUCACGAUGAACACGGAAGGCAGUGCCACUGCCACACCUUCCACCAGGAAACCGAGCGCAGAGAGGGGAAGUAACUGGCGCAAGGACCCGUGCGUGCUCCACGCGGGACAGAGCCUGCCUCUCCCCCGACACCGUCUGCACAGGUGGCCUCUUGUGUCUGUCCGUCACGCAUCUGUGAACGAGUGGGCUGGGCUCUGCUCCUCGGGACUUGAAAAACUGGGGUUAGGGAGUGAGUGUGUGUGUGCGUGCAGGGUGGGGGGACAGGUGACUGCACACAAACAGCCCUCAUCAAGGCAGCUCUGAAAAUGGCAGGUGGCAGAGACCCCAUCUGGCCCCCAACUUUGAUUCUCUGCCAGCUAUCAUGGCUAAGCUGUGGCCAGCGGGACGGGAAUGGAAAUGAUACACCUGCCUUCGUUUUUAAUUUUUAAAAAAAUUUUUAAAAAAAUUUAAAGGUUUUUAAAAACAUUUAUUUAUUUUUAUUUAUUUAUUUUUGGCUGCGUUGGGUCUUUGUUGCUGCACGCAGGCUUUCUCUAGUUGCGGUGAGCGGGGGCCACUCUUCGUUGCGGUGCGCGGGCUUCUCAUUGCGGUGGCUUCUCUUGUUGCAGAGCACGGGCUCUAGGCGCACGGGCUUAGUUGCUCCGCGGCAUUUGGGAUCUUCCCGGACCAGGGCUCGAACCCGUGUCCCUUGCAUUGGUGGGUGGAUUCUUAAGCACUGCACCACCAGGAAAGUCCCUACACCUGCCUUCCUAAAACGGGGGUGCAACUCCCUUUACAGGCUGGUGAGCAGUCUUAGGGCCUGGACCACUGACACCAGGGGUCGGUCUAUCCUCAACUGUCCUAACCUACCCUAGGUUGGCUUUGCCCAGGCUUUUACCUGGGAGAGAAAUACACUUGUGCUUAUGCCUCUGUUAUUUUGGGUAUUUGCUAUGGGAGAAUUUAUAUUGUAACUAAUGAAGGCAACAAAGGAGGUGUGAAGAGAGUGGAUGGAAACUCUGAGAAGGAAAAGUUAUGUGUGUAAAUGUUUUAUUGAUCUUCCCUCCCCACAUGCAUGUGUAUAAGGUCAGGAAGGUGUUUUUGAGAAAAUAUGGGAUCCACACUAAUGGAGGUCCAUUCUUCUUUG